rnacentral:rRNA from 1 species
AUUGAACGCUGGCGGCAGGCCUAACACAUGCAAGUCGAGCGCGAAAGUUCUUCGGAAUAAGUAGAGCGGCGGACGGGUGAGUAACGCGUGGGAAUCUGCCCAGUAGUGGGGGAUAACGUU